rnacentral:lncRNA from 1 species
CCUAAUGGGCCUCGGACUGACAUUCACAGCAACCUGGUCUCCAUAGCAACCAGCUGUGACAUCACAAGGAACCCACGGACCCUGUAGCUGGAGCAGAGGAAGCUUGAAUGCCUGUUUGGGGAAGAAAGCCUUUGCUGCCCAUCCUUAGGCCUCUCCUGUGAUAGGGGAAGAGGACAUAGAAACGCUGAGAGAGCCAGGGCCUCCGCUUCUCUGGAGUAUUCCCCCUUCUGUAAGUGGAAGGAAAGGAAGCACAGCAGAAGGAUUGGAAUCAAGACAGCCUGGCUCCAGAGCCUGUUUUCAUAACUACGAGAGAAUGCACCAGAUUCCUUCUGAACGCCGCCUGCCGCGUGCACGGCUACAACUCUAUUUCCAGCCAUGCUGUGGCAAGCAGUUCCGGGCGGGCUUCAGCUCCCUUUGCACCACCAGCACCUCGCCUCCUGUCAGCAUGAGGCAGUUUUCAUUUUCUGCCCAGGGGCUUCCGCAGCGCCCCAACACAAGGUUGGCAGAAGCGGGCUCAGCCGGAGGACUUGUGGAGGGAAGUUGCUUCCACUGAGCCAGCCUCAAUCUGGGGUGCACAGGCGCCACCAGGUGAAUGCUUCUGCCAGGCCGUCAUCUGACCCAUAAGGUCCCUCUGUGCACUGCUUGGAAGGUCCUGGCAGGGCUGAGCCCCAGCCACCCACGGCAGUGACCUAAUAAUGCACCGUUAUCUUGGCUCUUCUGCUCUCUCUUGUUUCCCACUCCUGUUCGUCCCUCAUUUCUGGUCCCUAGAAUGACUUCCAAAAUAAACUCCCUG